rnacentral:misc_RNA from 1 species
UUUCCGUAGGUGAACCUGCGGAAGGAUCAUUAUUGUAUAACCGAGGUGCGAGGGCUGUCGCUGACCCGAAAGGUCGUGCACACCCGAGUGCCUCACACACAUCCAUCUCACCCCUAUGUGCACCACCGCGUGGGUCCCCCUUUGGCUUGUUCGGAGGGGGGCUUACGUUUUCACACAAACUUUGUAUGCAGUGUAGAAUGUAUUUUUUGUUUUUGCGAUCACGCAAUCAAUACAACUUUCAACAACGGAUCUCUUGGCUCUC